UACGAAGGGGGCUAGCGUUGCUCGGAAUCACUGGGCGUAAAGCGCGUGUAGGCUGCCCGGAAAGUCGGGCGUGAAAGCCCUGGGCUCAACCCAGGAACUGCACUCGAAACUCCCGGUCUAGAGUGGUGGAGAGGGAAGUGGAAUUCCUGGUGUAGAGGUGAAAUUCGUAGAUAUCAGGAGGAACACCAGUGGCGAAGGCGGCUUCCUGGACAACAACUGACGCUGAGACGCGAAAGCGUGGGGAGCAAACAGG
rnacentral:rRNA from 1 species